rnacentral:rRNA from 1 species
AUUGAACGCUGGCGGCAUGCCUUACACAUGCAAGUCGAACGGCAGCGGACCUUCGGGUGCCGGCGAGUGGCGAACGGGUGAGUAAUAUAUCGGAACGUACCUUUCAGUGGGGGAUAACGUAGCGAAAGUUACGCUAAUACCGCAUAUUCUGUGAGCAGGAAAGCAGGGGAUCGCAAGACCUUGCGCUGAUUGAGCGGCCGAUAUCAGAUUAGCUAGUUGGUGAGGUAAAGGCCCACCAAGGCGACGAUCCGUAGCUGGUCUGAGAGGAUGAUCAGCCACACUGGAACUGAGACACGGUCCAGACUCCUACGGGAGGCAGCAGUGGGGAAUAUUGGACAAUGGGGGCAACCCUGAUCCAGCCAUGCCGCGUGUGUGAAGAAGGCCUU